UACGUAGGCAGCAAGCGUUGUUCGGAGUUACUGGGCGUAAAGAGUGUGUAGGCGGUCGUCCAAGUUUGGUGUGAAAUCUCCCGGCUUAACUGGGAGGGUGCGCCGAAAACUGGAUAACUGGAGUAUGGGAGAGGAAAGCGGAAUUCCUGGUGUAGCGGUGAAAUGCGUAGAUAUCAGGAGGAACACCUGCGGUGUAGACGGCUUUCUGGACCAUGACUGACGCUGAGACACGGAAGCGUGGGGAGCAAACAGG
rnacentral:rRNA from 1 species